rnacentral:rRNA from 1 species
UACGUAGGGUGCAAGCGUUGUCCGGAUUUAUUGGGCGUAAAGAGCGUGUAGGCGGCUAGAUAGGUCCGUUGUGAAAACUCGAGGCUCAACCUCGAGACGUCGAUGGAAACCAUCUAGCUAGAGUCCGGAAGAGGAGAGUGGAAUUCCUGGUGUAGCGGUGAAAUGCGCAGAUAUCAGGAAGAACACCCGUGGCGAAGGCGGCUCUCUGGUACGUGACUGACGCUGAGACGCGAAAGCGUGGGGAGCGAACAGG